CCACCCCCCCCCCCCCCCCCCCCCCCCCCCAAGGAUUUGAAUUUGUCCAGCUGCAAUCGGAUGAAAGUUUACGCGAAACCCAACAAAGGGUAUGGAAUGAAAUCGUUGAUUGGAAGGACUGUUUGCUGAAUCAGGCCAUCAAGGUCGAUAAUUUUUUUGGGGGAAACGAUCGAACCAGGAUGAUAAUGGAGUCUGGAAGACAAAAUAGGAAGAAUUAUUCCGGCGUUAUCCUCUCUGAUCCUGGUUGGCUGAUUGAUUGCAGAGAAUCUUUUUGAAUUUUGUUUUCCUUUUCCGUGUCAACUUUAUCAAGGUUAGAAACAGAAAACCGCUGUCCGGAAGAUCCAAGGAAAACCAGGUGCGCCAUUCUCAAACAAAAAAAGAAAAAGAAAAACACGUAGGCAAUCUUAUCCAAGAUUAAGAACACGCGCCAGCUACCAGCAAGAUAACGACGUCGUCAAGUAGGAAAUAUGAGAAACCUAGGAGUUAAAACUUUUCGAUGGCGAGGAUCGGUUUAUUGAUAUUGACUGUCAUGGUGAAGUUAUACAUCAACACGUUUGUACUUCAUCUGGUGCUCUUCGAUUCAUUCCUCUAAACCCCCCAUGAACCUCUCUGAUUCAAACUCAUCCGGAUUGGUUCACGACUCAAGGUCCCUCGUGACCGCAUACACGUUUACCAGGACCCUAAUCUUGGACUUGAUCAAUAAUCCAUUGACCGUACAAUCCUUGGCACAUUCUCGAAUUAUUAAAGGAGCUGAUGGGUGGAGCCUAAGGGAGGAAGGUUUGGGGACGUAUGAGUCUUUUAUCAACCGAGUUGUUAGCUCUGAGUUGUUAGAACCCGAACUCCCCCGGCCACCCCCAAUUCCCUCCCUGAAUAUGAAUAAUUGAACUAUCAAUACCAAUCCAAAAGGAAGAUUUCAAUGGUUCAAAAGACCACAACUAAGUUUAAAGAUUUAAUACAGAAAAAAGUUUGAAAAAACUUUUAAUUUCAAAAAGUUUACAUAAAAUUUUAUUACUUUCGGAUCAGGAUAUUUCGAGGAGUGACCUUCCUCCAUUUCGAACCCAUUUUUAUUAUUGGUGUAAACCAUAGUAAUCCCUGAUCUUGGGCAUAGGCUUGUUCAUGGUCAGCGCUCUGAAUAAGGUUUCAAGAUGUUCAAAGUCCUCUAAAAAGGGUUUGUAUCUCAGCGGAUGCGCCACGUCAUCCACAAACUCCUUGGACGGCUGGAUCUUGAUGCCCUUCCUCACGAAAGAAAACAGUCCCACCUCUUUAGAACCUCAUCAAGAUAUCCAAAGUUAUCUAACGGUCUGCAUUUCGAUGCCACGAACUCAUCGGAUGACCGGAUCUCGAUCCCCCUCUCCACAUAACUAAUGAUAGUAGUAAUAUUUGUAUGUAUUUUAUCAUGUGAUUUAAUAAUAAGUUGAGUCUUUUUGAAUUGUAUUAUCUAUAUCUAACAAAAAAAUGGAGAAGGAAUGAUAGAAAUAUCAUUACCCAAUAUUUGAUAACUUUUCAGGUAUUUUGAACGGAAAUGAUAAUAUGCAUAUACCGAUUAAAAGUGGAGUUAAGUGACGAUACAAUUUAUAAGAUGGCCAACUUAUUAUAUAUAUAUAUAUACACACAUCCACUCCUCCAUGCACGUCAAUGUGAAAAUAAUAAAGGAAGAGAAAAAUAUAAAGAAGAUAAUGAGCAACAUGGUGUAGAGUAUGGGUUGAUGAAGGAAGAUUGAGUUGUACCAAUGAAAUGUGUCUGGCAAAAUUAAAUGGAUGCAGUUGGGAAACUUCACAAAUUUGGCUAUAAAAGGACUCACCUCUAUAAGGAAAGGACACCAAUUCACAGAGAUAUCAACAGAGAGUGUGGAACAAGUAGAGAGUGUAGAGUUAUGGAGAGAGUGUUUUGAAGUUGUGUUUGUAAUUGUUUCUUUUAAGUGUGGUAGUUACGUAAAGCUAAUAUGAGUUGUUAUUAUUUUGUUCGUUUUUAAAAUUAAUCAUUUAUAUCCAUUUUAUUUGGGGGUGUACGGUUGAAGUGACGAAACGACGAGAAGGUAAUCCACAUUUCAUCCAUAUAUCAACAUUCACGAUAUAUAUUCGUAGCUUCUCGUCGGUAAUGUUUUCUUUAACUAUGUGUAUUAUUAUUAUUUUCAGUAUGAACUAACUUUUCUAUUCUGGGGAAUUUUACUGCUUAAGUGAAGUUAUUAAUUGUUGAAUAUUAUCAAUUUACUUUUCUUCUCCGAUUUUAUGUGUGUUGCUAUUCGUAAUGCUAUAUAUUGACUGGCCAUCAAUUUAUUGUUUUGUUGUCUUUAGUAAGUACUCAAAAGGGAAAACUGAAGAUAGAACGCUGGCGCACUCUCAUAAUAAUCUAUUGAAGCGGAAGUGAAUAUGGAAUAUUGUGCGGUCGUUAAAAGGAUAAUCGGACUUAAGACUAUUUGAUUAUUUGUAUUGGCUACGGAAGUAGGAAUAUAAUUCGUCAAGUAGUACGUGACUAGUCUGGGAACGGAGAGUCGUCACUAUAGAGAUUAUUCGGUUGUAAAAUCAGGAGAUUAAAAUUGAUUAGCAAAAAGUCAAUAGUAAUUGUUAGUCCUCGUGGGAUCGAUACUCUACUUACACUUUAUUACUUGAUAGACCUGUAUACUUGCAGUAUAUAUUUCGAACAUCAACUAAACAGUGUCACACAAUACCUAAUAAUAAGUUUAAACUAAACUAAUUAAAUAAAGGAAUAAAACUUCAAAUAUCAUUAGCCGAAUUAUGAAAACAUCAAACUUUACAUAUAUGGUACUAAUACUCGAGAUGAGUCAAGUUGGAUCGAGUAGGCGUUAGAGUUCUGACAUUUUGUUUGCUCACUUUUAUUGGAUAUAUAGAUCGUUAGCUAGCUGGCCGAAAUUUAUUGCAACACAAACCAAACCAACCGGUUCCUCAAACCAGCUUAAUAUGCAUAACCGGAUAACACUCGAGGGUUGAACCCAUUUCGGCAGCAAACCCGGGUCCAGGACUCAAAUCGAUCAUCUUCCCAUCCUUAACCUUCCAAUCAAAGCACUGAACCAAACUACCAACAGCGGCAUGCAUCAUCAUCAUAGCCAAAGUAGCACCCGGACACCCUCUCCUCCCACUCCCAAAUGGCAAAUACCUAAAAUUCUGACCCUUGUACUCCAUCUGGUGCUCCCCGAUUCGCUCCUCCGAAUCCUCCAUAAACCUCUCCGGGUCAAACUCAUCUGGGUUGGUCCAUGACUUCGGGUCCCUCAUGAUCGCAUACAAAUUGACUAGGACCCUAGUUUUGGACUUGACCGAGAAUCCGUUGACCGUGCAGUCCUCGGUACAUUCUCGAAUGAUCAAAGGAGUCGAUGGGUGAACUCUUAGAGUUUCGAGAAUCACGGCUCGAAGGUAAGGAAGGUUGGGGACAUCUGAGUGUUUCACCAACCGAGUUGGUCCCACGACCGAGUUGAUUUCUGCUCGGAGUUUAUUGAAGAAUUUCGGGUUGUUUAUUAGCUCACCCAUUGCCCACUGCAUCGCUGUUGAUGUCGUGUGCGUCCCCCCAAUGAAUAUGUCCUAUAAUAUUACGUUCAUUCAAAAUUAGGAUAGAAAAUUUUAUAUUAAAAUUAUAAAUAAAUCUUUUUAUUAAAAAUAUAUUAAUUUAUAUUAAAAUAUAGACCGCACGAAAUAAAAUAAAAAUGAUCAUAAAUUUUAGUUUUUUGAAGAUCACUUACGAGGAGGAAAGACUUGAUAUCGUUCUUCGAAAGCCUGACCUCAGCAUUGGGAUCAUUGUAAGUCUCCAAUAAAAUGUCCAAAAUAUCCUUCCUCACUUGUCCAUUUUGCAGUCCACCUCCUUCCAUCUCCAAUGCCUUCUCUUCAUGCUUCUUUAUAAUCCUGUUAACUAUCUGGUCAUACUUGGUCAACGCUCCGACUAGCUUCUUCCCGGUCCCGGAGAAGUCCAGGAACUGAAACGGUCCCAAUAUGUCCCCCACGCUUAGCCUCGCGGCGAGUUGCACGCAUGUAUUCACCAGCUCCGCGAUCUCCUCGGCGUCAUUGUUCGUGCCGGAGCACACUGUGCUCAUCGCCAUCCGGCAAAUCGUGUUGUUGGUCAACUUCGUGAAAGCUCUGUUCAAUGUAGAGUGGGUUGGCCCAUGGAUUUGUGGAUUUUUGUGGGGGACUUGAAAUUCACCCAUAAAAAUACGGGUACGCUAUUUUGAGUUUUAACCAACUAAGUAAAUAAAAUUAUUCAAAUUAACGAUCUUACCUGCUUAGAUUGAACACCUCGCCGUCAGCGGCGCACCUUGCCACUGACUCGACCAGUCGGACUUUCUCCUCGUCGACCACAUCAGCGUAAAGCUGAAGUUGUGGGGCCGACAGGAGCCAGGUCAUCGUCAACUUCUUCAUGAAGCGCCAAUACUCGCCGUAUUGGGCCAUGACGAACCGGGACCCACGAUAGAUGAAGUACUUGGAGCCUCCCAUUUCGGGCCUGGAGGAGAAGUUGAGGUCUUGAGCCUUGAAGAUCUCUUUAGCCACGGCUUCGUUCGAGACCACCAUACAGGUGGAGAAGCCCAUGCGGAUCUGGAUUAGUGGGCCGUAUGUUUGGGCCAGGCCCUGGAAGGAUUUCGAGAAGACUUUGCCGAUGAGGUGGAGGUGGCCGAUGAUGGGCAGAGCCGGCGGACUUGGCGGCGGACCACCUGGGGUUUUCUGGAUACGGCGUUGUUUCCGUACGAGGGAAUUAGCUAAGAUAAUCGCUAAGAAGGCUGUGGUGAGCCAAAUGAAGAAGAGGGGAUAGUAGAGAGCCAUGAUCGAUUGGAAAAAGAAGAGAUUUUCAGUGUGUUGUUCGUCGUCAGAGACUUUAUAACAACUUAUAGUGGAUUAGUGGUAACCGAACCCGGUUAAAAUCAUGAUGGACGUCGACGGUGAAGUAAAGCAACGUCAACCCAACGUGCAUGGUGAAUGUUAGGCGCCGGUGGAAAAGUCAACUUUAUGGGGAGUAGCAUAUGUAUAUUUGAUUCCACUUGACAAUUUGACAGAAUUUUGAGUAUUUUUUGAAUUGGUUGGAGUAAAGUUAAUUAGAUAGUAUUUUUCAAAAGCAAUUUCGAAUGUUGCAAUUUAAUUAUUAGACUUUUUAUCGGUCAAACCAAACAUAUAAAAUUUGGGAUCAUGCAUAGUAGCUUUGGAUAUAUCGAUUUUGCGACAGGAAGGUGGGAAGGUGCUCAACGGUUUAGACAAUUCCUCUAGCUUGUGGGAUUAUCUGUCGGUACCUUUGGAGGACUAGACGAUCAUGCAUGUGUUGUGGGACUUGCUCGGUACAUAAAAAGAAAAUUAUAGUCAUCAAACAAUAUUUUUUAUCUCCAAAUGCUCACAAGAAGAAGAUGAUAGUGCAUAAACUAGAACCAGUAUAUACUGAAAAUGUUUUCUAUUACAACAUCAAGAGGGAUGCCCCCAUUUUUGCAAGAGGUACAGUGCCUGUUUGAUUUCUGCAUGUAUAAAGUCAGGUACCAAGUCUAUCCCAAGAACAACAAGGCUACAACACCAGUCAACUCUCAGAAGAGGGACACAAGAUCUUGGAAGUCGAUCAGAGCUUUUACAAAUCGUCUAUCGCUUGUAGUUUGAAUCGAAUCUCUAGUGGCUCUGACUCGAUCUCCAAUGCUUUCGGGACAUGGAAUGAAUAUGCGAAAGAGGACACGAUAACUGCAUGAUCCAGUUGAAUCAUCGUACGCUUCUGGUGUUUGGUUUCGUCAGUGCUUCCACGAUCCUGAACAUCCACCUAUCUAGCAUCCCUAAAACAUUGAUGUGAAUACAAUUACGAAACCGAAUUUAACAUAAAGGGUGCAUGAAGUGUUAUUUGUUUUGCUCCAAUCAAACAAAGUAAGAGAAUCGAAACAUGAUUGGAAGAAAUUCAGAAAUAAGCCAAGUAACAAGAUGGUGAAAGUGAAAACCUGUUACAGCAAAUGUACCCCCUAAAACUGCACAAAGCCGAGUGAUGAAAUGGGAGAAACUGCGCUUUUCUUCCUUGAUCGUGACAGUGAUAGGUGACAAAUCAUACAAAAAGUAAACAGCUGCAUACAAAUGAAAAUAAUUAUAUAUUAUCAGGUAAAAAACAUAUUCCACGAUCCCAGACGACUGUUUAUACGAUGACUGUAUGAAAAUCAACCAACCUGGCCACGACCUAUCGAAGUCGUUCAUUGGUGAAAAGUAUUCUGUAACUGAGAAUUGGUUAGUUGGUAACACUUCCUUGGAGAUGUACCUGUACUCCGUGGGAACAAUCUGCAACAUAUUCAAGAAUAGACACUAACCGAUGUGAACAACAAGAAUGCAUGAGCCAAGUAGUUUUCGAAAAGAAUGAUUGAGGACUUUCACAUUGUAGAUUGCAUUUACAGGUGACUACCAACAUUUCAAAUGAUAAUCAAUGCUCUAAACAAAGUUGGCAACACAGAAGUCUCUUCAUAAGGGACAAAAUUCAGAACUAUAUCUCUAAGCUCGAGGAAGCAUUGGCAGUCAGAUAGCAUAAUUUGCUAUACAAAACCACAUGCUUAAAACGCUGAAGCUACAAUGUCAAUUAUUAAUUAGUGGCAAAAAACGGACCUUGAUAUAGUAUUUGAAUAUUCCACUUGUAUCACGUAGAAUCCUCGAUGUCCCAUCAAGAGGGUUGUGAAUACCAGGAUAUUUUGGCCCAAAUGAUAGAUCAUGAACGAUGUGGCUCACAUUGACAUGCUUAGCCCCUUCAAAAAUCUGCAAUGACACACUUCAUGCAUUCAUUGGCAGGUUCAAGACGAACAAUUCACAUCCAACUGUUUGCUGGAAGAUAAAUUCUUGUCACUUGUAGACAGUUGACAAGGUGAAAAUAUUUAUCCAGAUAUUAGCCAAGUCAUAAAAUCAGCAAAGUGAAAAGCAUAAAAGAUACUGAAACCAAAUUUCUGACCAUUUGAGCAACCAAAAUAUUCAGACCAUGAACUGAAAUGUGGAAGUUUCCGGCAACCCUUUGAACAUCUAAAACACCGUAGACCUGCAGAUACGUCCAAAUUUACAGAAUUAGAAACUCUCAUGUGUAUUUUUCAAGGCAUUUAAAGUAUUUGUGUCUUCAAGUAUAAAUACCCGGCAUCCUUCUCCAUUUGUCAUUGCUAGUUUCACCUUCUUUAUCAUAUUUUCAGCAUCUUCAUCAAAGCCAUGACUGUGAAGUUUCCGCUCAGUAUCAUCAUGGUGAUCUUUAUCAUCUGCACAUGAGUGCUUUCUGGUGAUUAAGCUAAAGAUUUCAAUUCGAUGAAGGUCACUUGUGAUAGAGUUUAUUCUAAACUUAUUGAGAUUACCAUGCUCAUAAAAUAAUGUAUGAAAUGCCAUCUAACUGAAUCAAAAAACAUUUGUAUGAUUUAGAGUUUUAUUAACGUGGGGGUAUGCUACCAUGAUUGUGACUGUGUUCCUUUUCAACAAGGUCUGACAAAUAUUCAGUGCCAAUGAUCUGGCCAUGACUGUUUAGCCGAAGCUGCAAAAAUGCAAUUUGGUUAGUAGCUUAACAUAAUAAUCUCCAAUCCAUAAAAGAAUUAACAAAAAUACAUUGAAAGAACUGCGUAAAGCAAAUUAAUGAAUAAUGCCCAGGGAUAACAAUUUCUUUCACAGUGAAUUUGGCACAAAUAAUACUCAACCCAACUUUGCAGGUAAGAACGUUGAUGAAUAAAGCUAGUCUGAUCUUACCUUCCAUAUGUUUGUAUCGAGAUCUACUUCAUGCUUUCCCGACAUGUCAAUGGCAUCCACACUCAACACUAAGAAACAAGGAAAGCAUAAGAACUUAACUUAAUAUUCGUAUAACAAAGUAAGAUACAGAAUAGAUGAAGAUGACAAUUGUGAAAGAAGAGGGAGCAGUAUGGCUAACCAUCACAAGGUAAAGAAGGAAAUGUGACGUUUAUAUGAAUCGGAAGAGUUUGCCCACGCGUCAGAUCUACAGACAUCUGCCAGAAACAAGCACAAUGAAAUUAUUUAUUGCAGCAAGAAAUGAACUGCAAGACAGAUGACGCUUAUGUAACUACAUUCCGAAUUACCAGAACCUAUUACAGCCCAAUACAUAAAUUACUUCGUUUCCACCACUCUGAAAUUUUUCCAAUACGUUUAACAUAUUUGAACAGACCUAACGUUAAUGUAUGAAAAAGACAUAACUGAAAGGGAGCUCAUACACCCUGUUUAUGUUGUAAAGUUUCUCUUUCAUAAAUAAUUAAAUAUGGGUAACAUUCUCAUUCAUACAUAAGCUCUAGAAGAAAGUAGUUGCCCAUAGGUACUUAGUUUGUCACUCACAAUUCAAACACAAUUACAUCUUCCCGGGGAAGAGAACUUACCAGCUCUAUAAGGUUCAUAAAACAAUAGGCAAAGAACAAAUACCGACCUGAUGAACUGUAUACGUGUGGAGGUAGUAACUGAGCUCGUGAACAAACAAUGUAGCCAUUAUCACAAGGCCAAUAACAGAAACUGCAAGAGGAUUACGGAUUCAAGUCAGAAGUCUGAUGCAAUUUAUACUAGUGACAAAAAUACCAAAGCAUCCUAAGCCAUACAUGUCUCGAAGAGCAAUAAAACUGAGCCAGAUUGCCGCUAAAGAGAAUAGAAUUGUAAGCCGUAAAUUUAGUUAAAAACACAUAAUUUAUCUGAACCAAAACACUAUCCUUCCAGAAUUAAAACAAGCCAGAUACAAAAUGGCUGCAAGAGCAGUACAGAUAACACAACCAAAAAGAGCUGAUAACAUUUGAAGGCUAUCUAUAGCGAGAUAUCGAACAAAUAUCACCAAAGGGUAGAGCACAACGAAUCACCCUCCAAACUCCAAAGUAACCUCUGGAGAACAACGUCAUUUUCUUCUAUUUCCAUUAGAACAAAUGAACAAGAAAGGAUUUCCCAUUCACUAAUAUUCCCUAGCGGCUUAGAACACAAUACAAUAUAUGAAUCAUCAGCUACCCUUUAUGCACAAUCAAUCCAAUCACUAAAGCAGAAGGAGAAAAUAAUCACCAAGAGCUCCGGAACGCGUUUUCUGCAACAAGUGUUCUUCUGCACGAGGGAAAGCAUCCAGGCUCUUUAUCGCCUGCUUCACCCCCAUCCUUACAACUUCUCCUUAAUUAUAAUCAAUCAACCCGCUAACCUGCACAGAACACGAUCCAACCAAGCGAACAAGAUCGCUCACUCAGGCAAAUGAUCAUACAAAAACAAAACGGAACAAAAAACUAGAGCGGGAAAAUCAUCCGAAAUGAAGUACAAGCAGCUCGAUUAUGGAUUUAUUCAAGAGGCGUAAUUCUCAAAGAAUCGGGAUCAAUCAAGGUGUAAGAAUUCUGUUUUGUAUUUUGUCUUCAGGCAAACGUUUUGUUUGAAAAUAACAGGACUGCCGGCGGCCGAGGAGGUUAGGAGAGAACGUUACCUGAGGAGACGACCAGAGUAAAGAAAGACGGAGGAGAAAGAGAGAAGAUUUGAGAGAAAUCAGUUGACGGAGGGAGGAAGAAGACCCCGCUCGGAAUUGACGUCGUCAGCGGUCCGGUUGAUAAGUUGUAUGGAUCGACGGAGACGUGCUUUUCUGUUUCUAACUAAUAUUUGUUCCGUUUGGGCCCAAAGUUUUAACCGUUGGGCAUCCUGGUCAAGUGGUUGGCCCAUGAAUUUUUUCUUUAUAAUCUUUUUUUAAGAGGAAUUAACGGAACAUUACGAACAUACCCCAAUAAUGUCAUAGUGUAACUAGUGGGACAGGUCCCGAUUUGGUAUCGAAAAGAAAUGUAAAUAAAAUGAAAGAGAGUGACCAAGACCAGAAAGAUAAUCCAUUGCAUAAUUUAGUUCGCGGUAUAUGUGAGAAAUAUAGAUAUCUCUAUUAUGAGCACACAAUUCCUGAAACUCAAGGACUACGGUCAAAAUCUUUUCUUUAGUAUAGUUGAUUUCAUUAUUGCUCGAGAUUUAAAGGUAUAAGUUUUGAAUCUAUUAUAUUAAAUAUCAAUUUAAAGGUAGUGUAGUUAAACAGACCAUUUUGUUAUUUUACCCUUCAGUUUGUACCUUUUUCUCUCCGUUAGUUAACGGAAUACUUAUAAAAUUAAGUGGUUAUGUAAUGAUUGAGCAUCAAGUGAUAAUGAAGGAGAAGGGGAUUAGGUACUCGGUUGGACUGAGUACGGUGAUUAAUGGCAUGGUUUAUAUCCCAAAAGAGAUGGGAUGCCAGGACGAUUUUGGAUUGUUUGAGUUCAUUCGGUUAAAGAGGGCGAAGAAUUACGACUCUGCUAUCCAAGAAUAUUGCGAGAUCAUUUGAAUUACGAAUUGCCGGUUUGUGCUCUGUUUGAUAAAUUGUGAAUAUAUAAUUUUUUUAGUUAGGCUCCUUGCGAAACUGAUCGAAUUAAUUAAUUAAUUCCCUAAUGAACAAGAGGGGACAAAUUAAAGUCGAAAAAACAUACGACAAUUUUGUUGAGGUUAUGUGAUCAACAACAUCCGCCUCUCUUGCCGGAAUCAGUAUCCUGACCGGGCACAAUGAUCCUCGUCCCUUUCAACAACCCCGAAUUUGGGUCUAGUUCGUUGUUGGCCGUUAGCGUUUUCUUGCUGAUGAUCCGGUAUAUCUCCGUCAACACCGUCAAGAACGCCGUCUCCACGUUGGUCGACUCCAACGCCGACGUCUCCAUGAAGAAGAGGUUCUCCCUCUGCGCGAACUCCUGCGCGUCCUCCUGCGGGACCGCCCUCAGGCUCCCCAAGUCGGACUUGUUUCCGAUGAGCAUGAUGACGAUGUUCUUGUCAGCGUGUCCCCGGAGUUCUUCGAGCCACCGCGCCAUGUGGUCGAACGACUGUCGUUUUGUCAUGUCGUACACUAGCAUCGCCCCCACUGCCCCUCUGUAGUACGCGCUCGUUACUGCCCUGUACCUGAAGGAUUAUUUCUCAUCCAUCUUAAAUUUCAAUACUGCAAAACAGUAUUAUGAAUAUAUAUACAUCGUAAACAAUUCUGAACAGAUAUAGUACCUUUCUUGGCCGGCGGUGUCCCAAAUCUGGGCCUUGACGGUCUUGUUAUCGAUGCUGAGCGUCUUCGUCUGGAACUCGACCCCAAUCGUGGCCUUGGAAUCAAUGCUGAAUUCGUUCCUGGCGAAUCGCGCCAACAACUGUGAUUUCCCUACCGCUGAAUCUCCGAUCAACACGACCUUGAAUACGUAAUUUAUUUUCUGAUUAAAAUCUACAUAAUUCGACAUUUCUAAACUCGCUCGAUCUCGCCUAGAUCCGUCAACCAAUAUAUAUAAACUAGGAAACACAACAACAAACAAUUCAAUUCAACAUUUCUCAUCGAUCUACUCUCGAUAUGAUGGAAUGAAAACUUUCAUGAUGUGGGUUGGAUCGGCUGUAGAAAACCUGACAUUGUCGCGACGGUGUAGAUCGGAGAAUGUCGGUGGUAUGAGCCGGCGAUGGAGGAAGAGAUCAAGUGUUGAAUUAGGGUUGAGAAAUUGUUGAGGAAAAUUGUUCUUCGGUGUGCUUAUUUUUCCCCAGAGGUGAAACGAGCAAAAGAGGGGAAAAUGAAUGGUUUUUGAAACUUAUUUUUCAGAAAACCAAGGCCAAAAUGAAUUGUAUGUAUUAUUGCUUUUUUCAGAAAAAAAUUAAGGGGGAUCAAGAUUCAGAAAAUCCAAAAAGUUAUAUAAAAAAUGACGAUAUAUCGUUAGCCGAUAAUCGUCACUCUUUAGGUUGAUCUGAUGUACUGUUUCAUUAUCAUUGAUGUAUUACAAUGUUUUAUUUGAGACAAUACAAAUAUGAAAUUAUUUAGAAGAGAAUUCAAUUUAGGCUGAGUGUUUUGUACAACUCCAUUGAUGAUGCCCCCUAAUUUUAUCAUAUUUUUUCUUCUUCUUCUUCUUAAGACCUUAUCCAAACCGAAACGGUUUUUUGACGAUCCGGAAAACACGCUAACAAAAGCUUCUUUGCUCGCUAACCAACCGGUUUUGUUAACGGUUUUUUUUCAACAGAAGUUCCUCUGUAUUACUGUAUAGUACUAUCUCUUUUGCUAAGCAGACAACAAAUAAAAAACGACAUGACGUUUGUUCAAACAAGUUGGUCUUGGUUCUGAUGGUGCUGCCUUCGUGAGCACUUGCACUUGGCUCGAAUCUCGUUCAGAGUCUGCUCAUCACCGAAACCACAGCACGAAAUCGAAAUAAGAUGAAAGUUUGAUCAGCAGAUAAGACUUAACAGACGACAUUCCAUACCUUGUACUGUGUCUGGAGAUCCUUAAUGUAGAGUCGACAGCCAAAUCUAGCAUGUCGGCCGUGUUGGUUUGCUGAAACAACCCCCCCAGGAAUAAAUACCAUUCAUUAACAGUACUGUCACAUAGUACAGGUUAAAUGUACCGAAAUUCGAACUGUGUACUAGCUAGUACCAAGUUACCUUGUCCAUGUUUGGUACAAGAUCUUGCAGCUUCCUCAUUCUUUCACUAAUCCUAGUUCUUCUCACCUUGUAACAAAAAACAUACACAAUAAAUCUCUAUGACGGUAAAUCAUUGGGAUUACUAUUGAGUCGGGGAUGCCCCCCGGCCAUCCCUCUUCGAAUCGGAGUAACAAAAAGUUGGUUGACCUAGCAUCAUUUGGAGUACAAAAAAAAUGUCGCAGAAAGGUUAAACUUGUACCAACAUAUCUAAGUCUCAUACAAAUGUGGUAAAAGCUAUAUUAAUUAUAUCGAAAUAUAGUGACAUUUGUGAUAUAUGUCGUUAGAAAGCGUUGUGACAACCCUAUUCUCUUGUAGUGUGUUCUAAAGAAUGGUCCGGUAACAAACAUAUUGAUUCUAACGAUUUAUGAAUAUACUUACUCGUUCGGCAAUGCUUCGAGGAUGAGUGGCGAAUCCACGCUUGGCUCUGAUCUUACAAGGAACAGAGUCCUGAAACAGUAGAAACUUGUCAAUGGCGGCUCCCAUAAUUUCCCCUGAAGCACCACCACAGCUACCAACAUUCUUGGGCAACCUCAAGUGGUGCGACAGUCUCCCAAGCUGUGAUCCACCACUCUGUGAGUGAGUUGCAUAACAAAAUUAGACAUUUGAUUUCGUGCAAUUUGGAACGUAACGGUUCAUAACAAGUUAACCUCACAACAGCAAAUUUUGAUCAUAGAAUUUAACCUGAUGGCUAUGAUGUUGAGCAGUUAAAGUGUCCGUAAACUGGGACGACGACUCGUUCCAAGACCCGUAACUAGGGAAUCCUGCUGCAUCAGUGACGUAGAAUCUUCCAUCGACGAGGUUCUUGGCAUGGUCCGAACUGGUAGGAGACAAGCUUUGGUCGUGCUCGAGCUCCGACGAUAGCAUUGCCACGGAAGAUGAGCUCCUGGACAGGAAGCUGAGUGGACUUCUCUGCCGUCGACUGGCUUCUGAUCUAUUGCUGCUGUUAGUGUAGCUCUUCAUUGAAGCAUAAUGACCUGCAAUUGUUUUUUGUUUCUAUUUGAGUUUAGAUAAAUUACACAACUUCAUAAAAUGGCAUGUACAAAUUUCUGUCGGUUACCUUUGAUGUCACAUAGCUUGACAACGGUUUGGAUUGGUGACUGUAAAAACUUAUCAAGUUUGACAGUUCGGUUUGAAAUAAUACCAUCAUUAUAUUUGAUCUGUUCACGGUGUUAACCCCCAGUUAUUAUUAACCAAACAAACCAAUGAAAUGCUAUUUCGGUUUGUUCUUACAAGAGAAUUUUUUUAACUAUUUAGUGAAAAUUGGUUGAAAAAAUCGGUGAGGUUGGGGUCUUUCUUUUUUAACAAGAGACCCUCAUUGUAUUUCUCAUAAUAGGUAUAACUGGAAAACGACAUAAUGCCCUAUAGGUCAUAGGAGGUGCAGCCUCCACAAUUCGAAAUUACAUGGGCCGCGAGUAUGUGAAAGAUGGAAGACCCCAAUCCUUUCACUCCGUAACAAACACGUAGAAAGGGAAAGCAGAAAACAAACCUAACCAAAAUUCGAAAGGAAACAACUAACAAAUUGAAAUAUUAGUCCGAAAACUUUCCAACUUGACUCGAUAUUAAUUAGCUAGAUAUUAUCAUAUAAAAAACGAAAUGGGCUGAUCGGGUUAGACAUACUUUGGUUUUUAUCCAAUUCAGUAAUAUUUAGGUCAAAUCACAAAUGAAAUGACCCACCAAAUUAUUACUAUCUCACAUUGAUGAGAUAUAAUUAUAGCAAAUCUAAGGAAACACGUAAUAAUAAAAAUUGGUAAUAAUAAAAUUUAUUAUCUAAAAAAGGAAAGGACAAAAUCUAAAGACCAUUACCAUUUUGAGGAGCCGAAAGGUCAACGAACAGCCCAGCCGGGGAGCUACUCUGCCUAGCCAGACCCGAAUAGUCAACCGUCUUCGUCGCCGCAGCUCCCAACGGUGCCAACAAGCCGUAUGAACUGUCGCCAUCCACACCCGCCACACCCGUAUUAUAAAAUAAANNNNNNNNNNNNNNNNNNNNNNNNNNNNNNNNNNNNNNNNNNNNNNNNNNNNNCUCCCCCCCCCUCCCCCUGCCCCCUCCGCUUCCUCCACUUUGGCGGCGGAUUUGAUGUCGAAUUCCCUGAAGCCAGUAACCGGCGCUGAAUCGUCCCCGGCGAAAAGGGUGCUUGGAGCCGAUCGAAACCGGAGCAAACCCGACCCGGACUGGUCACUCAGGUCGUGGAAAUUGCGAGUACCGCUCGAAUCCAUCGGAAAAAUUAACCAACAAGAACUAAUUCCUUCGUUUUUUUUUCUUUCUUCUUCCUACUAUUUAUCACUAUAGGAUUUGAAACAGAGAGAGAGAAGAGCUUUUUAUGGAAAAAUUAUUCUGGGGAAUAAUAGGGGGGGGGGGGCGAGGGGGUGGGGGGAGGGGUGGAGGGGGGGGGGGGGUGGGAAAUCGCGGGUAAUGCGAUUUUGAGCUUAGGCUUUAAGCAGAGACAGAGAAGAUAAGAUCUUGAGGAAGAAGCAAGAGCCCGAAAAGGGAGGAAAACUCAUUUGCCCUUUUUGGCAAUCACAGCUCCGAAAUGACACAGUCGAUGGAAAAGGAUGAAACUUUAAAACAACAAGGGGGGGGGGGGGAUGAAAAGAAAAGCCUGGGCAAGGACGGAGGGAGGAUUUCUCUACGAUGGUGUGCUCUGUCACAAUGGUGGUCUCUGUCUCUUUCUCUGCUGCUGCUGCUGCUGAAUCCCAAGUUCGUGAACCAGUUUUGGUUGGUUGACGGGAAUGCCCUUCUGGUGAGGGUAUAAUUUCGGGUAGGUGAGGAAGCAGGGAGGGGGGGAGAAAGAAGGAUUGGGAUUGGUUGGAAAAGAGGCGAAUGAUGUCAUUGAUGGGUGGUUUUGGUUUUGUUGGGUAGUUUCCAUGUUUGGUAAUGGCGGCGGCAGAGGCAGGCGGCUUAUUGUAAUUUGGUGGUUUUCGCUUACUAUCUAUUGUAGUCAUGGUGGUUUUGGUUUUUAGCAAUAUGGCAUACACAUUUAGAAAGUAACCAACAUAUCAUCACUAACUUAUCAAAAUUAUAAUAAUGUGGUCAUUUCGUCAACUUCCGUCUAAAUAUUCAGUUAAGUUGACAGGAAUAACUAUCGUUAUAUAACAGUCUUCACUCUUACGUCACAAGUUUAAUUUUGCAUGUUACGUAAGGAAUAACUAUCGUUAAUAAGGUUUAUGUAACGACAACUAUAUCGUACCUAACGAAUAACUAUAGCUUACGUAAUGACAACUGUAUCGUACGUAACGAAUAACUAUAGUAUGUUUGGCUUACAAUCAUCGUUCAUUAGAAGAUGUGUGCUUCUUUGCAAUUGUUUGAUCAGACCAAUUUAUCUCGAUCGUGUCUCAUGAUUUCUGUAUAUCAAAACAUAGAUCGUCGGAAAUAGUAACGGUGGAGGAUUCCCAUUAUGGAAUUAAAGCCAAUGGCGGGGAUAGAAGCCAUUAGCAUCAAUGGCGGAAUGUGAAGAGGUGUAACCAACACCAAGAAUCAAAGAGACAUAGGGAUGAGGCCGUCCACCUUCUCCAGCUCGUAGGGUAUGAGUCUCGAGAUCAUUCGGUCGGCAGAGUAAUCCGCCAAGUCGAUGCAAGAAAAUUCCGACAACAGCGACAGUAACAACGCAAGUAUCAGGAGCAUAGGUAAAUAGAAGGACCGGCCUUAAAUAAGUGCAAAAGUUAUGUUUUCUAGUAGAUAGAAUUGUCAGAACUAGAAGCUGUGUUUUAAGAAACUAAAAUGGUACAAUCGAACAUCCCAGCCCGUCUAGCUCAGUUGGUAGAGCGCAAGGCUCUUAACCUUGUGGUCGUGGGUUCGAGCCCCACGGUGGGCGCUUUAUAUUUUCUUUUACAUUUUGGUUCAAAUUAGAUGACAUAACGACAGAGAUUCGAUCAUUCAGAAAACAUCGAUGCACUUCCUUUUUCCACAAUGCUACAAUUGGAGUUCUGAAACACAUCUGGAAACCUACAGCUACCCAGAAUACAAGGUUAGCAAGAAGCUAGCCUCAAUCUACACUUUACAUGAUCCAUUUCUCCUACUUCACCGCCAUUUUGAUCCGAUCCAGGCUCUCCGACACGAACUUCAUCCUAGGACGCACCUCCGGAUCCACCUCCGUACAACUCAACGCAAUAUGAAACACCGCCAAAAUCUGCGUCUUGGCACCUACCUCACCCAACAGCGACUCGUCUAUAACCUCAAACAAUGGCCCUUCCUCACGAAACGCCUUCCUCACACCACCUUCCAACCCGGCAUCGGGCAGCUUUCCCGUCAGAAGCUCCAUCAGGACGAUCCCGAAAGCGUACACAUCGCAUUUCUGAGUCAACUUGGCUCCCAAUGCUCGUGCCUCGGGCGCCAAGUAAGCGUUAUUCCAGGGUGUUGUUGGAAUCGCAAUCGAGUUGUUCAAGAAAUGCUGCUUAUUCUUGGAUGAUGCUGAAGUGGUCAUCGUGGUCGUCGUCGUCGUUGUGGAGACCAGACGUGUGAGUCCGAACCCGGAUAUGUAAGGCUGAAGCUCGGAGUCGAGGAGGAUCUUCGUCGACUUUAAGUUGCCGUGGAGGUGGACGUUCUUCCGUUGGGUGUACUCGUGUAUGUACAUUAUCCCCCUUGCUGCUCCUUGCGCAAUUCUUAGCCUUGCAGCCCACGGCAGUGGUGUCAGCAAAAUCCCAGGCCCCCCUGAAACACAAUUCCCCACAUGAUCGUUACAUUUUCUAAAUAUUAUCAAUAUCACUUUUGAGAAAUUCACCUUCCACCCGUAAUUCAAUCAUUUUUGGCUCGAGAUAACUAAUGGGCGAUUUAGAAAAAAUGAUGAAUUUGUAGAGUUCUGGUACCGUGCAGCGCGGUGUAGAGGCUCCCAUUGCGGAUGAAAUCAGAGACGAGCAAUUUCUCAUCGCUGGCGUAGUAAUACGCUCUCAGCCGUACGAUAUUCGGAUGUUGGACCUUCGCAAUCGCUUCGACUUCCGACUCAAACUCCUUGAGCCGCCACGCGCCGCCGUCGUUCAGUCUCCUCACCGCCACCACCGACCCAGCUCCGCCUCUUCCUCCGACAACCACCUUGUACAGUAUCCCGCUCCUCCCUUUCCCGGCCACGUAAGCCGACGCCCUCAGCAGAUCCUCUAGCUCCAAACAGAACCCUUCAUCCAUCACCACGAAUUUACCAUUCUGCCCUUCGCCUUCCUCCUCCUUCGUCAUCGCCUCACCACCGUGGACGAUAAUGUUCGUUUCCUUUCUGCUCCCUUUAGCUUCUUCUUCGUCUUUACACGUUUUGCCUUUCUCCGUCGCCGUCGCCACGUAUUUCCUCCGGACUAGCCAGGCAGACACUGUGAUCGCCCCGAUCACCACCGUCACCCACGAGACGGCAGUUGUGUCAGCAAAAUCCCAGGCCCCCCUGAAACACAAUUCCCCACAUGAUCGUUACAUUUUCUAAAUAUUAUCAAUAUCACUUUUGAGAAAUUCACCUUCCACCCGUAAUUCAAUCAUUUUUGGCUCGAGAUAACUAAUGGGCGAUUUAGAAAAAAUGAUGAAUUUGUAGAGUUCUGGUACCGUGCAGCGCGGUGUAGAGGCUCCCAUUGCGGAUGAAAUCAGAGACGAGCAAUUUCUCAUCGCUGGCGUAGUAAUACGCUCUCAGCCGUACGAUAUUCGGAUGUUGGACCUUCGCAAUCGCUUCGACUUCCGACUCAAACUCCUUGAGCCGCCACGCGCCGCCGUCGUUCAGUCUCCUCACCGCCACCACCGACCCAGCUCCGCCUCUCCCUCCGACAACCACCUUGUACAGUAUCCCGCUCCUCCCUUUCCCGGCCACGUAAGCCGACGCCCUCAGCAGAUCCUCUAGCUCCAAACAGAACCCUUCAUCCAUCACCACGAAUUUACCAUUCUGCCUAUCCUCUUCCUCCUCCUUCAUUGCCUCAUCACCGUGGACGAUAAUGUUCGUUUCCUUUCUGCUCCCUUUAGCUUCUUCUUCGUCUUUACACGUUUUGCCUUUCUCCGUCGCCGUCGCCACGUAUUUCCUCCGGACUAGCCAGGCAGACACUGUGAUCGCCCCGAUCACCACCGUCACCCCCGAGAUCAACGGAACCGCCACCGAUCCGCUCCUCUCCCUCGACUUCUCCACAUCGCGGAGCCGAUUCUCUCCACCGCCGUCGCCGCCGCGAUCUCGACGGCGGCUUUCCUCCGCUGGGAUGUUCACAUUCACAGAUUCAGGGCAAGGAGUCUGCAGAGGGAACCCACAAAGACUCGGAUUCCCGGAGAAAGCGAUCGGACCUUGGUUAACCAGCGACCCAACCAGAGGAACCUUACCGGUGAGAUUAUUAUGCCCCAAAUCCAAGCUGACCCGAACAGGAAACCGUCCGUAAGAUUCCGGGAUCUCCCCUGAGAAGCCAUUCCAGGACAGAUUCAGCGUCCCCGUGAGGCUCCUGAGCUCGACAAGAGACUCCGGGAGGGAACCCUCGAGCUGAUUGGACGAAAGAUCGAGUCUUGAGAGGAGCUGGAGCGACCCGAUCGAGUCAGGGAUCCGACCCGAGAGACUGUUCCGGGACAAAUCGAGAGAGCGGAGAGAACUGAGGAGUCCGAGCUCGGAUGAAAUGUAUCCGGUGAGGCGGAGGUUUUGGAGGGAGAUUGAGGUGACUAAUUGGUUAUUGUCGGAGCAGGAGACGCCGUUCCAGUGGCACGGAGUCGGGUCGGAUUCGUACCAGGAGGAGAGUGAGUGGGUCGGGUCGGAGGUGAUCGCCGAUUUGAGAGAGAGCAAGGCUAAGCCUUCGGAAGUGAGGGAGUUGGCUUUGGGGAGGAGGAGGAGGAGGAGAAGAGAGGAGAUGAUGAAGAUGAAGUGCAUUGCUUAAUUGAAUCGAGAAAUUUGCAGAAGAGGAAGAACGAAGAAGAAGAAGAAGAAGGGGGAGGGUGGACUGUGGGGAAAUGUGAGAAUUUGAAAAUUGUCCGUUUGGUGGGAAGAUCGAGGAGUGUCGGAGGAGAAGCGGGAACGUGGCCGUAGCUAGCAGCUUGAGUGAGUAGGCGGUAUUUGUGUCUGAAUAAUAUCAUAAACAAAGUACAGAGGAAAGUACGUUUCUUUCUCUCACAUUUCAUUUUUUCUUUAUAACGAUAUGAGGUUUGCAGUUAAUUUGUUCCGACUUCAUUGAUGGUGGCACUUGCAUUUCCGCCUAGUUUGAUGCGAUGUGUCGAGGUUUUAGCUAGCAGUGAUUCAACGAAUCUGAGUCGUUUGCCGUGGUGGAUUCAAAUUUGAAACUUUCGCGUCACCAAUAUACAAUUUUAUCGUCGGAGUAAGUAAUAGUAAUACGAUUUUAUUUUACCACCUUUUCAUGAUUUUAUUUUAACUCCUUUUCAAAGAAUGACAUUUGCUUUUGCAGAUUCACAUGUGGAUUCAAAUGGCUAUGAUUGUGGGUGACAGGUCCAAAAAUGCAUCAUUGGGUUUUCCAUUCAAAAGGUGGGAAGGGUUUGGUUGGUUGUUUUUAGUUAUCAAGUUUGAAUUUAAGUACAUCUUAUAAAUGGAUAUUUAUAUAAUAUUUAUUUUUAUUUUUUAGAAUAUCGUAUAAUGUUUAAUUAUGUUUUUUUUGUUUAAUAAAUUUAUAAGUCUUUAUGUGUAUAGGGUUUUUCCAUACGGAUUUGUUUUGAUCAACAUGGCUCUUCAUAGAUUUGUUUGAUGCUUUCAAUGAGAUUAAAGUUGAACAGGUUAAUGUUGGGGAGAUGUAAAAUUGGCCCAUGAUGUUAUCCCUACAAGAGGUCGCCUACGUAGAAAGGGAGCAGACAUCUUUGGAAGCCGCAGCCUCAGUCAGCAGGGAUACGAGGAAGGAUGGCAUUUAUUUGUUGACUGCAUGUUUGCUAUGGAAUGUUGGCAACUUCUGGGUAUCGAGCAGAUCAUUACAACGACGGAAGAAACAUUUGAUGAGCUUGAUUAUUUGUCAUGGAGCCUUCUCGAUCAACAGCCAAGUUCAAUAUGCCAAACGUUGACAAUCAGACUUUGGUGCAUCCGGAGAGAGACAUGAGGACUGGCUGUUACAGAAGGUCUCGAUUGACAUAAGGACUGGCUGGCUUCGGAGACUCAAAAGCAGAGUCCAGCUCUCCCAAACCGUGCCCUAAGUGGCAUCCGCCUCCGCAAGGUACUUUAAAAUGCAAUUUCUACAUCGUCGUUUUCUUAGAUAUCUGGAAAAUAGGAGUUGGAAUGGUGAUCCGGGAUCAGAAUGGCACGUUGAUUCAAUACAAGAUGAUGGCGCGUGAGGGGGUCAUGGACGGCCAUAAUCGGAGAGUCCAUGGCUCUCCUGGAGGCUAUAAGGUGGCGCAUCGGUUUGGGACACGAAAAGGUCGUUUUUGAAGGUGCUUCGCGGACUACCAUGCAUGCACUGGCGGGAGUGGAAAUCGACGAGUCCGAAUUUAGUGUUAUUAUUCACAUGUGUAGGGGUUUAAUUCGAGUUUGGAACGGGUUUUCAUUCAAAUGUGUUAAAAGAGAAAGUAAUGAGAUUGCUCAUGAAUUAACUCGACGAUUUAGAUUCCAUGCUUCCUCGAAUAUAAGAUUUACACCUCGUUCAUGAUUUAUUAAUGCUAUUUAAACGAUGAGCCUUUCGACACCACCUGCCUCAUUAAAUGAGUACACUUUCUUGUCAAUUCCCCCUCCAUUAAAUGCACCUCCCCACCUCUAUUAAUUUGUUCCUAAAAUAUUAGAGAAAUAGAAUUCAAAAGAAAAUAAAAUAAAUUAAAUUAAACAAAGAGUAAGAAAUUCCAAGACCAAGUCCCGAUUAUACAAUCUUAUAGGCUCGCUGGGACGAUGGCACAAGUAUGGGUCAACGUAGUGUGAUUGAUUGUCUAGAAAUUUUGGAGCGGUCAGGUUCAUAUCUCAUGAGAGAUUUAAAUCUUUUCGCUUAUCAUGAAAUGUAGUGAGAUUUCAUUAGACUAUUUCAAACUUACCGAUAUUAAAAUUAUGUUGAUCAUAUAUAUCAACCGAUGGGAUGAGGCCAUCUUGCUCAGCGUCACACUAUAAAUACCGUCUUACUUACUUUGAUGGGCAUGUUAUCAUAAAUUCAAAAAAAGCAUUUCAUCAAUAUAUAUUCUUUGUCCAUUUCACGUUUCUCUUUUAUUUUCUAACCGUACCUUAUUUUUGAACUUACUUACUUUUCUUAUCAUUUAACUUACAAAGAAUUUGCAUAAAAAAACUGAAUUAGACAAUAAUACAUAAACUCAUCUAACUUAUAAGGAAUUUACACAAAACUGAAUUAAACAAUAGUAUUUAAAUUUAUCCGUCACAUACUAAAAACCUUUUAUUGUCCAUAUUAUACGAAACGGAACACACUUUACCUAGUAAAUUUUUUUUCAUAUUUUGACAAGUUUACAUAGAGUAAUACAUAAACUUGUCAAAAUCAUCCACCAAAAACUUUUUAUUGUCUAUUUUAGGUGAACCAGAACACAUCUCGUCUAGUCAAAGAAAUUAGAUGGUGAAAUUGGCAUGGGCAGUAGUAAUAAUAACACUGUAUAUAGCAAGUAGAGGAGGAUCACAGGCAAUUGCAGUAACUCACAUUGGUCGUACCCAACCUCCUCCCACCCCCAAUGUAUUCAUUGCAAUUCACAACUACCUCACCAAUAACCUGUAAUUUACAUGGUGUUUUUUAAUUUGGAUGGUUUUAUUAAUUAAGAGACGGAUUAAAUAGUAAUAGAGGUCGAUUCGUGAUUCCCUUGACCGUAUUUUGUUAGCUUUUAGUAUGAGCAUUGAUAUUUGUUUGAUCAUCCGGGUUGAACUAAGGGCUGCUGUGACAAGCCUCCACAUUGUUUGGGAGCAAGGAUAUUGGAGAGUACAUGUGCAGAUCGACUCCCAUUGCGGAUUGCAGUUGAUACGCCAGACGACAGGAGAGAUUUACCAACACUCUGCUGUAGUGAAUCAUAUUCACGAGUUGAUCGAAUUCAUACAUGUUUAUCGAGAGAAGUAACAUUGGGCACGAGCUGCCAUUUGGUAAUUUUUCCUUUUCCAAUUUUUUAUUUUAUUUUAAUUUAUUAGAACCGUUAUGAUGUACUUGAUGUUUUUCAAAACAUAAUAUCAUAUUGAGUGAUAUAUACUAUACUGCCAUAUAAACUUUUAUUUCACUAUUUACAAACAAAUGUUAUGUUUUUACGUCGAUUAUUAAUUAUGCACAUAUAAUCACUUUUAUUCGACAUAUAACUCAUUUAAUACAUAAUUCAUGUCUUUUCAUGCUAGCUAAUUAAUUUUUUUUCACGUUUUUUAUAUGAUGCGAGAAAAAAAACAGUUCUAUAGUGAAUGUUCACUAAUAAAUAAACAUGUAAGUGUAACCCCCUCUACAUCCACAUUGAUCAAGCUAGAGUCAAAUGGCUUUCAUGGCUCAAUUUUUCUCUCUAUUUACAUGUACUUAUGUCUUCACAAGUGAUAUAUUGUUCACACUUUCAUUUUCAUAACUCUCCUUUAGUGAAUGGUUCGUGAGCAAUUUGAUGUUCGACUGAAAACAUGUUUGUGAUCCGGCUUCUAAACGAGCCAAACUUAAGAUAGGGUAUGUUUGAAUCAAUAGGCUUGCUAGCUAGCUCGAGUUCGAACUCAAGAGCCAACUCUAAUAUUAACUCAAUAACAUGACUAACUCAUCCGUAAACUUAAUAAUAUAUAUAAAAAAUAUUUUACCUCAAAUAUUAUAUAUAAUAAAUGUAAGCAUAUGUAGAAAUUUAUAAAUAUUAGGAUAGUUUAUUUGUUUAGUUUGACUUAUCGAAUGCAACUCAAAUUGGACUGAUAUCAUCAUGGAUUUUAAUAAGUAAAAUUUGAGUUGAGCUCGAGUUUGACUCGUAAAUGACCUGAUAGUUAACAAGCCAAAUUUGAGUAUAGUGAAAUUCAGCUCGAUUCGAUUCGUGAGUAAGAAAAAAAAGUAGUGAUUGGAGAAAGAACUAAAGAAAGGAAAAAAAAAAGAACUUUAAAUGCUGCCGCGGCCGUACAGUUGGCCCAACCCAACCACUUACUCUGCUCUCCCUUUCUUCGUCUUCUUUAAUAGUUGAUGAACAUUUUCGUCAUCAAAAUCUCUGCAGAGAGAAUUGAAUUCCCACCAAAGAGCUGAAACUUGUUCAGAUAAUCAAUUUGCAUUUCAUAUGGCAAUGGAGGAUCGUCAGUACGAGUACUUGGUGAAGGUUGGAGAGGCAGAGGAUUCUUCUGCAGGGCCUGUUUACAGAAGCAUCUACGCCAAAGAUGGGCUUCUCCAACUUCCACAGGAUCUCCAUUCUCCAUGGCACUUCUUCAGGUGCUCAUUUCUUUCCCCUUUGUCGUUAGCAUUUUUGCUAGUCAGGUGUGAAACUUGAUAGAGAUCCAAUAUAAAUUUUGCAUUAAAAAGUCCAUAUUUUACGAUGAUAAACGUUUUGUGAAAAGUAAAUCCGUAAAAAGUCGUCAUUGUUGAGCUUAUAGAUUGUUUAAAAAGAGGGAGAAUCUCGAAGCUACCAUUGAUGAUUAAGCUCAUUUUUAUAUAUAGUCCGAGUUUUACUUCGCACCGUUCGUAAAAUGACUAUUAUAUCCUUAAUAAAAUACAUAUGUUCUAUUUUACUAAAAUAACUAGUAUCAUAUUAAUCAUCAAUGGUGACUAAGAAUUCUCCUAUUUUUUCAAAAAAUAUACUGAGUUUAGCAAUAACUUCUUCGAAAAUCUCUCUUUUCAUAAAACUCUAAUUGUGUUGAUAACUAAUAUAAUAAGAGUUAUUUCAGUAAAAUAGUAGAUAAAUCUAUUUAUUAGGACAUAUUAGUCCAUUUACGAUAAAAUAUGGACUGCGCGAAGUAAAAUACGAACCGUAUAUAGCAUCACUCAUGAUUAAUAAAUAUUAUACUGAGUUAUUUUAACAAAAGCUAAGUAGGUGUUUUGUUAAAAGGUAUAAUAAUCAUUUUAAGUACGACGCCAAAUUAAAAAAAUUGAUGGCCUAUACAAAUUUCAAACCUAUGAUCUUGGCGUUAUUAGCACCACGUUCUAACCAAUUGAGCUAAUCUACUUAUCAAGUUAGUUGUAAUAAGUUGUAUCAUUAAUUUUUUAUUGCUAAUGAAUUGGUUAUGUGUAGUGAUUCGGCAGCUAAGUACCCUAACAAUCCGAUGUUGGGUCGUCGUGAAGUAGUAGAAUCCAAGGUAAAUCCCUUUCCGACUCAUAUGUUGGAUUAAUCGAGUUACAAAGAUCGGUACGAAAAGGGGUCACACAUUAUUUGGAUUGCAUGUCAAUCGAAUUACAGUUCACUUAAUUUACGAGUGUUUUUUUACUAGAAAACCGAACAAUUGGUUACAACUUGUCAUAAAAUCUGGUUGGUUUGAAAUGUUGCUAUAAACAGGCAGGAGCAUACACAUGGCUGACUUACAAACAAGUUCAUGAUUCAGCCUUGAAGAUCGGUUCUGCAAUGAGAACCAAAGGAAUCAACCCUGUAAGCAGCAGUUCAAAUUUCAUGCUCGCUUAAUUUCUCAGGUGUGACAAAUUUUCAUACUUGAAAAAUGUCCUCUCAGGGUGAUCGUUGUGGUAUCUAUGGCUCUAACAGCCCUCAAUGGAUCACUGCAAUGGAGGCUUGUAACAGUCAGGCUGUCACUUAUGUCCCGCUCUACGACACACUCGGUAUAGUUCAUGGUUCAGGGUUUAGGGUUCUCUCAGUGGUCAAAAAGUUGACGAAUAACUUUCUCAAUUUGCAGGUGCUAAUGCAGUGGAGUUCAUCAUCAAUCAUGCUGAAGUGUCUAUUGCUUUUGUUCAAGAGAACAAGCUUCCUGCUGUAACUUUUCUUUCUUCUUUGAUUCCAAUUUUAUAUAGUUAAUGAAUAAUAUAAAACCAAUCUUUGAACUGUUUUGAUUUGGUAUCCAUCAAAGGGUUAGGGUUUUCGAAUCCAGAUAGCCCCUAAUCCUAUUGUGCAAACUUUAGACUCUUCUGGAAACUUCCGUUAGAGGGAACGUGUUAGUGGAUUAUAAAGAACCAAUCUUGAACCCUCUCGUAACAAAUGCUGACUGACUCACAUCAUUCCAGGUUCUGUCCUGCCUCUCAAACUGCUGUUCAUAUUUGAAAAGUAAGCCAAUAUGACUUCUUUCUCCAUCAACCAUUCUCAAUUUUUUGCUUUCGAGAAUCAAAGAUCAGAAUCCCGAUUCAUCUCUUUUUGUGUGUAGCCAUCAUUAGCUUUGGAGGCAUUUCGGCUGAGCAGAAGAACGAAGCUGAGGAGCUAGGGGUGUCUUGUUACUCAUGGGAAAAUUUUUCCCAGUUGGUAAUUAAAGAACUGAACAAAUACAGCUUGUUAUGCUGAUUUCAAGAUGAAAUGAUUACCAACUUAAAUCGAUUUCGGCAGGGAAGUUUGGAUUGCGAGCUGCCUCGGAAGAAAAAGACAGACAUUUGCAACAUAAUGUACACCAGUGGAACUACUGGAGAACCUAAAGGAGUUAUCAUCUCGAAUGGAGCUCUCAUGGCAGAAGUUCUGUCUGUGGAUCAAUUGCUUUUCCUGACCGAUAGAACGGUAAAGCAUCAGACUUCGUAGUAAACAAAGUGAAUAAUUUGGUUUUUGAUUGGCAUUUUUGCUACAGCUUGAUGAAAAAGAUGUAUACUUCUCCUUCUUGCCUUUGGCUCACAUCUAUGACCAAGUAAUGGCGAGCUACUGCAUCUCGAAAGCCGCCUCCAUAGGGUUCUGGCAAGGGGUAAAAAAGCAUUGCAUUCUGAUUCCAUCUUCUUCUUUCUGGUGAUUCUUUUAUUGUCUGCUGCUUCAAUGGCUUUGUUGUCUGCUGCAGGAUGUAAGAUUCUUGAUGGAGGAUCUCCAGAUGUUGAAGCCAACUAUGUUUUGUGGGGUUCCUCGAGUUUACGACCGCAUUUACAGUGGUAUAAACCUCAAUGCUUGUUGAUGGAGAUUCUGCCAUCUUUGAUUUUCGACCGUGUUUGAAUGUCAGCUAUUCUCUUUCAGGUACAAUGAGCAAGGUCGCAUCGUCAGGGGCAGUAAGGAAAAAGAUCUUCGAUUUCGCAUAUAACUAGUAAGUAGUAUUCAUAUCCAUCCAUACUGCAUUCCUUUCUUGCAAAACAAGUAACCAAUGGGGAAUUGUCUGAUGACAGCAAGCUGGGAAAUCUUGAGAAAGGAUUCCCACAAGCCAAGGCUGCACCAUUCUUCGAUAAACUCGUCUUCGAAAAGAUAAAAUUAGCACUGGGAGGGCGAGUUCGGAUUCUGUUAUCUGGUGCUGCACCUUUGCCUAGACAUGUUGAGGAAUUCCUAAGGGUCAUUUCCUGCUCCACUUUAUCACAGGGCUAUGGUAAUGAAUCAUAGAGCUCUAAAGUUUUCCACUUUCUUGAUGAACACUCAAAACUUUUCCACUUUCCUGAUGAACACUCAAAAGUUUUCCACUUUCUUGAUGAGCACUCAAUAGCCUUGUUGUUGUUUAACAGGCCUCACCGAAAGUUGCGGUGGAUGCUUCCCCUCCAUAGGUGAUAUAUACCCUAUGGUGGGGACAGUUGGUGUCCCCAUGCCAACCAUCGAGGCCCGGCUUGAGUCGGUUCCGGAGAUGGGAUACGAUGCGCUAGCAAGCGUGCCACGUGGAGAGAUUUGCCUGAGGGGGAACACCUUGUUCUCCGGUUACCACAAGCGCGAAGAUCUGACCAGAGAAGUUCUGGUCGACGGUUGGUUUCACACAGGUGACAUUGGCGAGCUGCAACCAAAUGGAGCCAUGAAGAUCAUUGACAGGAAGAAGAACAUCUUCAAGCUGUCUCAAGGCGAAUAUGUUGCAGUGGAGAGUCUCGAAAACACCUACUCGAGAUGCCCCGUCAUAGCUUCAGUAUGUCUCAAAGUUUUGAACUCUCCAAUAGAGUUAUAUUUUGAUUGAUCUCUCUUUUGGCUUUUGACCUAUAUUCAUUCCUUCACCACAGAUAUGGGUAUACGGCAACAGUUUCGAGUCGUUCCUGGUCGCAGUUGUGAUCCCGGAGAAGAAAUCGCUCGAGGACUGGGCAGCACAGCAUAAUUUGAAGGAUGAUGAUUAUAUUUCUCUGUGCAAGAAUAAGCAGGCCAGAAAGUACAUUCUAGAUGAGCUGAACAUCAUUGGCAAGAAUCACAAAGUAUGCUCUGUAUUCUUCCUUAAUUAAUUUAGCUUUCACCGUUUCGAGUUUCGACUAACACGAUAGAGGUGAUGAGUUGGCAGCUGAAAGGGUUCGAGAUGCUGAAAGCUGUGCACCUGGAACCGGUUCCAUUCGACAUGGAGAGAGACCUUGUAACCCCAACAUUCAAGUUCAAGAGACCUCAGUUACUGAAAUAUUACAGGGUAUAAGUGUAUAUUUUCGUCAGAAAAGCUGUCUUGUUUUGAUCGUACUACUUUUUUUCGAAACUAUCUCUUUCCGUUACUUCACAUCUGCAGGAAUGCAUUGAUCAACUUUACCAGGAAGCUAAGGAGUCCAAGCCUUGAUGCUGAAUGUCAGAUUGGACUCUCAGGAUUCAGGAACACGUAUCGAGACUCGAGAUAUAUCGUUGUCAAUCUUUAUACACAUAUAAACAGAUCAAAGAAACGUCAUCAUCGUCGUAAUGCAAAUCAAAUUCGUAUGAAGUAAUUACAUGUCCUAUGUUGUUUUAUUGUAUGUCUGUAAAAUCAGAUCUUCAUAUAUAAACAGACACUUAAAAGUACAUUUGAUCACACGAGAAUAUCACAUGAGCAAAGAAGUCAACAGUGAUUCAGACCAAGUCAACAAUCAGAGCCCAGACAGGAUAAACAAAGAGGAGGAUAAUGCCGAUGGUGUUGGAGAUACCGUUGGCUUUCGUAAACGAGUUUCUGAACCCACCAGAUGCUCUAAUGUGUUCUUGCAGCAAGUAGCAAGCUAUCGCAAGGCAAAUCCCCACACCGACCAAGUUGUUCCUCAGUGUAGAAGCGAACAAACCCGGGGCUACCACUAUCAGUAGAAUCAAAGCUCCAGGCAUCUCUAGCCAAUCUGGACAAAAAAAGAAACACAGUAAAUACAACCACCAACUUUUUAACUAAAAGCCACACAGAAUUUUGGAGUUGGCAGGUUUCAGUACCUGGGAAGCGGUCAGGGAAGAACAGGCGUAGUACAACAGCAAUGAAAGCAACCCAUUUCCCAAACUCCCCUCUGCAUGCUUUCAGUAAAGUGAAAAACCAAUAAAGACACUGAUUACGUGUGGUUCACUAAUGAUGUGUUAGCUUGCCUAGGAACUAAUCAUCAUCGAAAGUUCGAACCUUUCCCAACAACUUGAGUUAUAGGAUGCAACGGUUUUUCACUCGAGCCUUACAAUGAGAGGUCAGACAUCGAAUCACAUUAUCCUGCUAUUCUCCACACACCAAUGCAGAUCCAGAAACAGAUUACAUAAGAUCACUAUUCCGUCACAGGUGUCGAAAAACCCACAACAAACCCGAACAGAAAACCGAUAGAACAGUAUUUGUUAAUCCAGUUCCUCUUGGCUAGAAAAGUACUUAUAGAGGCGCUGCCAAGCUAGGGAUAUAGACAAAUAUGUCGUGAUGAUAAGGAUUACAACGAUGAGGAAAACGAGCUAUAACCAAGCUACUGAGUUAACCUUAAUACCCUACCGAAACGUCAAACUAACAAGGUGAAUCCAUUAACGAAACCCCUCGAACUCAUCCGCGAGCUGGAUCGAAGAAAAGCCAAGUCGGAUUCAGUUAUUUGUGUCCACCAAAUGGAUUCAAUGCUUCACUCUCGGGUAAAAAAAACAUGAAGAGCUGGGAGGGUGUAUGAAUUACCUGAGUAAGCUAAAGAGGAAAGUUGGGAGGGUGAAGAAGAUGUAAGGGAUGAGUAACCCAGUGAGAAUGUUCGUCUUCCAAUUCGUCCGAUCCAAUAUCAAAAGGUAACUGCAUCAAAUCAACCCCCAAUUUCCGGAAAUUAGAGUUCAAAUUACUGAGAACGAAAGAAAGAAAGAACGCAGGAAGGGGAAAAGGGUGUGGUGGCACAACGUACAUAGCGGCAAUAGCAGCAAGCCACUCGAGGAAAGAGGUGCCGAAUCCGGCGACGAUGCCCAGAUGAAUCACGAGCUUCUUCGCCGCUAAAGCUAGCUCUUUGACAUCGGAAGAGAUCAAAUCGCUCCCCAAGCUGCUGCUCCCUCUGUCUGUCUUCAUUGUCCGUCUUCAUCGCUAAGUAGCUCUUCUUACCCAUUUCCGCUCAAGCUACGUCCUUUCUGGCAAUCCAAAACUUGGGCAGGCAGGAGGAGGAUUCGAGAGAGUGUAAGGAAGGGAGACAGCCAGCAGCAGAGCUUUUGACUGUCGUGAUAUGGGUAGGAUAUUAGCCGAAUAGUACAGUAAGUAUGUUUAAUUAUUUGACAAGUGUUGGAUUGUCGACCAGCUUAACAUAGAUUGACACGUGGAAGGUGAUUGGCGGGGAAUUUUUCUUUUCUGGUUUCUAGACGACUGUUUAAAUGCUCCCUAUCUGGCAAUUAAACAGGUUAUUUUGUCCGUAACGUCUCUUGAAUCUUCCUAAUUAAUUAAUUAUUAACAGGUCUAUUGCAAUUAGGUUCGGACUAACGGAAGGUCGCAGAUUCGCAGCAGGAAAUUAUCGAUAGGGUUCAACGAGAGUCGCUAAACUCUACUUGUUAUAGUCGAUUUCGUUUUUUCGAUCUUUUUUGUUUUUUGAUUUCAAUUUAGAUCUAUGUUGUCGACAUGCCUUAUCAUCUUUUAUAUAAGAACUUUGUCAGAGCUGAUUAUGACCCCUCCAAAAAUCUUAGCCGCAACUCAAAUCUCACCACAAACCCCUCAGCCGUUGACAACACCGUCGCCCUACCGUCCACCCAUCAACACCAAUCUUCCCAAAUUUGGCAGCAAUCCACCGCCGCACCAAAUCAUAACCACCGGGUAUACAACCAACGGCCGAAAUCCUACAAUGAAUCGCGCGGCCGGCGCAACCAACCAAAUCUCCGAUAGUGAAAUAGCUCCGUCACAAACGGUGGUCGCUCAUCUUUCCGUCGCGAUGUGGGCGGCCUUCACGACCACGGCACCGCCACCAACCAAAGCAACCUUAAUAAGACCGGGGCACGCAUCAGCGUAAAGGUUAUAUUUUUUGUGUUGUAGGUGGCGUUAUUGUGGCUGAAUUUCUUGCCUCCGUAUUGGUAGGUUUCCGCGAUCUAACGUGCUAAUGAUGGAUUAGAUUUGUUGGGUAUUAUCCCCCAACUAUCUAUCUAUUGAAAUUUGGGCUGACAAGAUAUGGACUGCCUUGAAAACUAAAGCCCAUGGCUCAAUAAUAUAGAAAGCCCAAAUAGUCUUUCUUGUUCCUGAAGUCGUCCGAACUCCGACGACUGCCGCGCUUAAGUCCGCCAGAGACCUAGCGACGAUUCGAUCG
rnacentral:lncRNA from 1 species